rnacentral:lncRNA from 8 species
ACUCAAUACCUGAGGAAGAUGAUGCGUUUGAGGAUGAAGAAGAGGAAGCUGAGCAGCAAAGACAGAAGAUGCAGGGAGGAGAGCAGGCAAACACACCUGGAGGAGAGAGCAGUGCAGGACGCAGCCAUGGUGUUGUGGAAAAGUCAGUCUUCAAAGUCACCUGUGGGGCCAUCAAUGGAACGCUACAUAAGGAUCGGUUUGCAUCUGCACGAUCAGGAUAACGAUGACGACUGCUUCAUCUGUAGAAGCCAGGGCAGCUUGAUAUGCUGUGAUGAGUGUCCUCGCUCCUUCCAUCAGAGAUGUCAUCUUCCUAAUGUGGAUGAUGCCAUGAUGGGGUGAGAAGAGUUCUGGGAGAGGGAGGAGAGGUCUGUUUGUUCUGUGUGGGGACACUCAACUGUCAGUUUAUUAGUGCACUUCUGUAAUGUUUGUGUGAGCGUGUGUGCAUGUGGUGUAUCAACACAGGGAUAAUAGUCAGUGGAUGUGUACAUAGUGUGUACAGAGGACCAGUCAGCCGUGUCGCUACCCAAAACAAAUUACCUACCAGGAAGCCUUGACCUGCCGAAUCUCUGACCACCAACUGGUGAGAAUCAAGCAAUCAUUUAUCAGUGAAUCAUUCAAUCAUGAGUGUCACAAUAUCCAUGACAUGAAAUAUUACAUUGAGUGAAUUCUGUUUGAACUGUGUAUUUAAGUAGCAAUCGUUUAGAGCAGUAGUGGUAUAUGACACGUACGGGUGUAAUAAUGGUGUGUUUACUCUGACAGGAAUGCCAGGACCUCCUGCUGUGUCGCUACCAUGCAGAUGAGGACCACAUCUUUGUGAAAGAUCCUUGCAUGUUUUGUUUAGUUCUCUCUGUGUGUGUGAGAGAGAGAGAAUGUGUGCGUCUGUGCAUGCAUGCUUGCCUGUGUAGGUUUUUAGUGUCUUGAGUUUGUAUGCGUGUCAACAUUAACUUAUUUUGCUGUCUGUAUACAUCACUGCCUUUCAACGCCAGGUGAGAAACUACUCCAGUGUGAUAAAGACUGAUGUGGCUGGACAGGGUUGUGGAGAAGCUGCAGCAGAAUCUCUACCAGUCAGUGCAACACUUUGAGUCUGACGUGCAGCUUAUCUUCACCAACUGUGCCACAUUUAACAGGGUAAGACUGCACUACUGCAGUAUGAAUGUGUAGACUGGGGCUGAAAUCUGAUACAAAUUCUUAAGGAAAUCUUAGAGUUAUGCUCAUCAGCUUUACUUGAAAGUGUACUUUUGUUUGAACCACAACAAAGCUGUAUUAGGCUAAAUGAGUUGCGUUAAUUGCAUUUCUAGCUUUUUUAUUGUGUUUCCUUUUAAAGUGGCAAUAUGUCACCUUUUUGGAAAUUGACCAAAUUCACAUAGGACAUAGACACAAUGUGAGUCAUAGAUCUAUAAUUCUACAUGAAAGCAAGUGUAAGAAGCGGUAUAUAUAUAUAUAUAUAUAUAUAUAUAUAUAUAUAUAUAUAUAUAUAUAUAUAUAUAUAUAUAUAUAUAUAUAUGUGCGCUAUUUCUAUGCUUCCCGUUAUUACGUUUUGUUUUUGCAUCUUUUACUUUCGGUUUUGUACACCAGCGUCAAACAGCUGAAAAUACAAUAUUUUUGCAUAUGGAAAAUAUAUUUCACAGCGAUUUAGACGGUGCAAUGAUUAUCUACACCAUCUUAUUUUGUCAAAUAAACUACAUUUAGGUAAACGACUAGUUUUAGCAACCAGGAAAUGGAGGAGCAACUUUUGCAUAGUGCAACUUUAAUACAAUUGUGUGUGUCCUUUUUUCCCCUGAAGGAUAACGCAGAGUUCCGUGGGAUGUGCGAAAGUUUGAAGGAUCCAUUUAAGCAGGAGUUCAAGUGUACAUCCAACUGCAGCAUCUAACUACAUCCAACGUCCAGUAGAGCCUUCAUGAAGUCUGCAACAUUAUUUUACUAUGAAAUAGGGAAUACCCAAGAUGCCAUGAGAAAUAUGCUUCAAAACAAGAUCACUUAGUUAUUUAGUCAGCUAACUUUGAUGAGCAACCAGAAAUAACUACAGAAUUUCUGGUUCAUUAAGAAGGAUAACAUUUGAUACAUGUGUAUUUUUGGUUGUUGAGUCAAUUAGACCAUUUCAAGCUUUAAAGUGGGACUGAAUCGAACAACCAACCUCUUUGAAAAUGGCAUAUGUGACAUCGAUAUUUAUUCAAGUGCCUGACUAAAAAGUGCAAGUAGGUUAAUUUUGGUCUUGGUAUAGUCCAAAACUGAGAUUUGUGGACAAGAGUUCAUCAGGAUGUAGCUGAGGGUUGGGUUUUGAUUUCGACAAUGUCAAUUUGUUCACUAACACGGGAUGAACAGAUGCGGUUAUUACCAUCUAGCCAAUGGCACAGACAGUGAGACAGUCCUGCCCAGCAGCUCAGACUUUGUUUACAUAAAACAAGUCACACAUUUUUUUACUUGAUAAAUACUGCACCAAACACCUUAGUAGGAUGUAAAAUUGCACAACUAAAACCACCUUGGUUUCCCACUCCAUCUUUCUAUAAAAUAAAGUUAUUUCAAGAUAUUUAGGCAAUUCAACACAAUCUCACAGUUAAUGUGGGGAUCCAUUUUUAUGAUGGGAAAUUAUAAUACAGACAUUUACACUCACUUUGUACUCAUGUUAUAGCCAACUCUUGACUUUUGUAUGAAUUCUUUUUAAUAAAAUAUUUGUAUCAAGUUGUCAUGUAUUCAUCUAUCAGUAAUAAUUAACAUGGUUAAACAGUCGUACAACUAUCCUUGAUUUAUCUUUUGGUAUAUUUGUCAUUUUUAUACAAAUUCUGUAUUUCCACUGAAGAAAGCAAUAAUUAAUCAACACCCUACUGUAAAUAAAUGGAAAUGGCUCUCCGUAAAUUGUGAGAAAUGCUCAGUCUGAAACAAUUCAGCUAUGGGUUUCACAGCCCUAUAAUAGUGGUACAAGUUAUAUCAUCUUUAAAAGGGUUUAUUUACAACCUAUAGGGUAUAAUAUGUUGGGAAUAAUGGCAUGUGAGAGUCUGAAAUUAAUUACAUAGCUUAGUUUUAGCAUAUGUUCAACGUCAACAGCAAUUCAGUGAGAAAUGCUAGGUCUGAAUCCAUUCAGCUACGGGUUUCACAGCCUGUUAAAUUAGUUUAUGUAUGUAACGCCCUGGCCAUAGAGAGGGGUUUUUUGUUCUUUAUUUUGGUUAGGCCAGGGUGUUACAUUGGGUGGGCGUUCUAUGCUCAUUUUCUAUGUUGUCUGUUUCAUUGAUUUUGGCCGUGUGGCUUCCAAUCAGGCACAGCUGUUGGUUGUUGCUGAUUGGGAGUCACACAUAAGUGCCUGUUUUUCCGUUGGGGUUUUGUGGGUAAUUGUUUGUUAGAUUAUUUCCUAACAGGACUGUUUUGCUGUCGUGUUUUUGUUCAGUUUUGUACAGUGUUCUUACGUUAAUUAAAAUCAUGAUGAACACUAACUCCGCUGUGCCUUGGUCUACUCUCUCCCGACAGCCAUUACAAUGUACGACUGUGAUGUGGUUGUCUCACCUAGCUAUCUUACGAUGAAUGCACUAAGUUAUAGGAAAAGUGUCUGCUAAAUUACAUAGUAUCGCUGUGGAAUAGGAGCACAACAAUUUUCUAUUUAAUCUCUGAGCCUAUAAAAAGGCAUGACAGAAACCCAAAACUCUGUCUGCAUAUCUCAAGACAUGGCAUAAAAACCUGGAAAUCAACCAAUCUGCCGAGUUUAUAUAGGCAGCAGCCUCUAUGUGCUAGUGAUGGCUAUUUAACAGUCUGAUGGCCUUGAGAUGGUUUUUCAGUCUCGGUCCCAGCUUUGAUGCAACUGUACUAACCUCGCCUUCUGGAUGAUAGCGGGGUGAGCAGGCAGUGGCUCGGGUGGUUGUCUUUGAUGAUCUUUUUGGCCUUCCUGUGACAUUGGGUGCUGUAAGAGUCCUGGAGGGCAGGUAGGUUGCCCACGGUGAUGUGUUUGGCAGACUGCAUCACCCCUUGGAGAGCCUUGCGAUUGCAGGCAGUGCAGUUGCCAAACCAAACGAUGAUGCAUGGUACUAUGGUGUUGAAUGCUGAGCUAUAGUCAUUGAACAGCAUUCUUACAUAGGUAUUCCUCUUGUCCAGGUGGGAUAGGGCAGUGUGAUGGCGAUUGCAUCGUCUGAUUCUAUUUGGGCGGAAAGCAAAUUGAAGUGGGUCUAGGAUGACAGGUAAGGUAGAGGUGAUAUGAUCCUUGACUAGUCUCUCAAAGCACUUCCUGAUGACAGAAGUGAUAGUCAUUUAGUUCAGUUACAGUCUGAAGUUAAUACACCUUAGCCAAAUACAUUUAAACUCAGUUUCACAAUUCCUGACAUUUAAUCCUAGUAAAAAUUCCCUGUAUUAGGUCAGCUAGGAUUACCACUUUAUUUUAAGAAUGUGAAAUGUCAGAAUAAUAGUAGAGAAUGAUUUAUUUCAGCUUUUAUUUAUUUCAUUACAUUCCCAGUGGGUCAGAAGUUUGCAUACACUCAGUUAGUAUUUGGUAGCAUUUCCUUUAAAUUGUUUAACUUGGGUCAAACGUAUCAGGUAGUCUUCCACAAGCGUCCCACAAUAAGUGAAAUGAAUUUUGGCCCAUUCUUCCUGACAGAGCUGGUGUAACUGGGUCAGGUUUGUAGGCCUCCUUGCUCGCACACACUUUUUCAGUUCUGCCUACACAUUUUCUAUAGGAUUGAGGUCAGGGCUUUCUGAUGGCCACUCCAACACUGACUUUGUUGUCCUUAAGCCAUUUUGCCACAACUUGAAGUAUGCUUGGGGUCAUUGUACAUUUGGAAGACCCAUUCGCGACCAAGCUUUAACUUCCUGACUGAUGUCCUCCCUCAUGAUGCCAUCUAUUUUGUGAAGUGCACCAGUCCCUCCUGCAGCAAAGCACCCCCACAACAGGAUGCUGCCACCCCCCGUGCUUCACGGUUGAGAUGGUGAUUUUCGGCUUGCAAGCCUCCCACUUUUUCCUCCAAACAUAGCGAUGAUCAUUAUGGCCAAACAGUUC